rnacentral:misc_RNA from 1 species
UUGGAAAUUUCGUAGAUCUACAUAUAAAUAUAUAUUGGCUCUUGAAGGUGCUUAUAGUAUAUUUUAAUAUCUUGUCAACUUUGAUAAUUUUCCUUCGAGAUUGCUACCAAUUUAGCAUCAUGUUCUAUAACUUUCUGCUUCUUUCCCUUUUUCUUUUUCUCUUGUUGUUUUUGUUCAAGGGAGAGGGCUGUUAAUUUUGUG